GACGAACGCUGGCGGCGUGCUUAACACAUGCAAGUCGAACGGAACGGCCCUGCUUUUUUGGGCUGCUCUGCUGGCGAACGGGUGACUAACCCGUGGGUAACCUGCCCUUGACUUUGGUAUAACUUCAUGCAACUUGGUCUAAUACCGGAUAGGAGCUCCUGCUUCUUGGUGGGCGUUGGAAGGUUUCGGCGGUUGGGGAUGGACUCGCGGCGUAUCAGCUUGUUGGUGGGGUAGUGGCUUACCAUGGCUUGGACGGGUAGCCGGCCUGAGCGGGUGACCGGACACAUUGGGACUGAGAUACGGCCCAGACUCCUACGGGAGGCAGCAGUGGGGAGUAUUGCACAAUGGGCGGAAGCAUGAUGCAGCCACGCCGCGUGCGGGAUGACGGCCUGCGGGUUGUAAACCGCUUCCGCCUGUGACGAAGCGUGAGUGACGGUAAUGGGUAAAGAAGCACCGGCUAACUACGUG
rnacentral:rRNA from 1 species